UAAUACGGAGGGAGCUAGCGUUGUUCGGAAUUACUGGGCGUAAAGCGUGCGUAGGCGGUGACUCAAGUCAGAGGUGAAAGCCUGGAGCUCAACUCCAGAACUGCCUUUGAAACUAGGUCGCUAGAAUCUGGGAGAGGUGAGUGGAAUUCCGAGUGUAGAGGUGAAAUUCGUAGAUAUUCGGAAGAACACCAGUGGCGAAGGCGGCUCACUGGACCAGAAUUGACGCUGAGGCACGAAAGCGUGGGGAGCAAACAGG
rnacentral:rRNA from 1 species